rnacentral:lncRNA from 1 species
CAAACUAUGGAUAUUAUGAUGUCAUAGAGACAAGUCUCACAAGGGGAGGCAGUACAUCUGAGCAGGAAAGGGAAGAAAGCUGGAAAUAAUAUGGUCAAUAAACUACCUUUCAGCAAUCAAGUAUAGAUGGAAAAAAAUUCUGUAGGCGCAUGAGGACAGCCAGGAGAGAAAGAGGAUUUGCACCACAUUUAAUCAUCAGAAAAAGAGAAGAACAUAUUCUGCAAUCGCUCGUGCAAUAAGAAGUUCAAACAAACUUACGGCGAUGUAUGCUGUGGUGGAGGAGGAAAUGGACUCAUGGGUGGAAACCUGUGGAAAGGAGUGGGAUGCACAGCCAAGAAAAUGCUUCCAGGUCCUGGGUUGUAUAAUGAAUCUCCAUAUUCAGAUGCAGUAUACCUUGGCAUGGAAGAAAAAGAACGCAGUUACCCAUACUGCCACCUUAUGUUCAGGACAAGAUGACUUUGGAUAUAUGAGGGCAAAAUGUAGAUCAUUGCGUAACUCCAUCUCAAUCUCUCUUUCAGCAUUUAGAAUUCUAUUAGUUCACCACCACCAUCAGAAUAACUCAGCUGGAAUAAAUUUCAGCACAUUGAGAAGUCAGCAUAGGCACACCAGUCAUGGGCAGGGAUGGCAACAGCCUACACUGAUGUCUUCACGUGUGGCACAGCUCGCCAACAGUCAUGCCAGGGCAAUUUGCCAGUUGGAAUACAUCCAAAAUACCAACAUGCCUUAGCUAGAAGCCGGCACAGGUUUUCUGUGGGGCCAGAUAGGUUGAAGAGGAUUCAGACCUUGUAAAUAAGUAUGACUUGAGGAGACAGGGAAGAGAGAUGAAAUCAAAAACUGAACAUCUCCUGGUUGUACAACUGCAAUCCGGAGUGGGCAAGCAAGCUGUUUCUCCCAAUACUACGUCAAACAAUAUUUUUAAAAUCACCAAAUUUGUAAAGAUGUUUUCUCCCUUUAAUGAGAUUUCUCCCUAUGCAUGUUCACUCAUAAGGAAAUGCUAAGGUGAGGAAAUUGAAACCACUUGGCACAUACUCAGUAAAACUGGAAGUAUUUCAUAUAAUUAAGUUUACGUAUUGAAAUGCUGCUUUGCAGUAAUGUGCAGGAAGCAUAUGCUCAUGCGAGCAAUCAGUAAGAAUACGGAAUGGCCUAGUAAUGCUUUCAGCACUAAAAGCAUCCCAUGACUGUGUCUACUGAAGCUGAUGUCAUGAUGAAUUUGUUAAUUUUUAAG